ACCGGCGAACGGGUGCGUAACACGUGAGCAACUUACCGAUUUGAGGGGGAUAGCCGGCCUAACGGCCGGGUAAUACCGCAUACGCUCGUUGGGUCACCUGACCUGGCGAGGAAACCUCCGGGGCAGAUCGAGGGGCUCGCGGCCUAUCAGCUAGUUGGCGAGGUCACGGCUCACCAAGGCGACGACGGGUAGCUGGUCUGAGAGGAUGGCCAGCCACAUUGGGACUGAGAAACGGCCCAGACUCCUACGGGAGGCAGCAGUGGGGAAUCUUGCGCAAUGGGCGAAAGCCUGACGCAGCGACGCCGCGUGGGGGAUGAAGGUUUUCGGAUCGUAAACCCCUGUUGCCCGGGACGAACUUCCUGAUUCGUCAGGAUUGACGGUACCGGGUGAGGAAGCACCGGCUAACUCUGUGCCAGCAGCCGCGGUAAUACAGAGGGUGCGAGCGUUGUCCGGAAUCACUGGGCGUAAAGGGCGCGUAGGUGGCGGCCCAAGUCGAUGGUGAAAGCUCGCCGCUCAACGGCGAGUCGGCCACCGAUACUGGGUUGCUGGAGCACUGUAGAGGCAGAUGGAAUUCCGGGUGUAGCGGUGGAAUGCGUAGAGAUCCGGAAGAACACCGGUGGCGAAGGCGGUCUGCUGGGCAGUUGCUGACACUGAGGCGCGACAGCGUGGGGAGCAAACAGGAUUAGAUACCCUGGUAGUCCACGCCGU
rnacentral:rRNA from 1 species